CAACUUUUUUUUUUUUUUUUUAAUUUUCUCCAGUCCCUGGGAGCAAAUUGCCGUCUUCUUUUUAUUUUUUUCCCUCUUGUGCUCAGUCUCCCUGUUUUUGAGGUCUCUUUUCUCUACACCAUGGUUCUCACCUUGUUGUGGGGAAAAUACCUGAAGCAGAAUACAAUGGGAAAAGAAUCUCUACCCCUUUCUGUUCCAAAUUCAUUUUAUCCCUCUCGUCUCGACAAAAACUGUAUGGAAUCAACACCACCGUGCUCUGCGGGAAAAAGAAACCCUCCUGCUCCCGGCUCUGCUGGAAGCUGGAGGGUGCCAGGCCCCUGUGUAGUAGUGCAUAGAAUUCUAGCUUUUCUCCUCCUUUCUCUGUAUAUUGGGCUCAGAGAUUACACUGUGUCUCUAUGUGAAUACGGACAGUUAGCAUUUACCAACAUGUAUCUGUCAACUUUCUCUUGUUUAAAAAAAGAAAAAAAAACCUUAAAAAAAUGGGGUUAUAGAAGGUCAAGAUCACUAAGCAACAUCUCAGAGCACUGACCUUGGGACUUGACUGCUGCCCCCAGUGGUGUAACACUGGACACACCACAGAACACUCCUAGACCCGUGCCCUUCACCUGGAAUGGUUGGCUCCCAGCAGUGUGUGUUCACAAGCACCAACAGUGGCCUCAGGCUUAUUCCUGGGCUUGAGGGCAAAAGGAAGGGGCCCUACACAGUGGCAGUGUGACAACUUGAUGUUGAAAACAUGCACCUGUGAAAAUCGAAACAGGCCAAAAAUGCUAGUGUUUGCUGGCUGCCUCCCUUUAUCCCGGCCCCCAGAACAGUGGCUGCACACAGUAGGGCUUCAGCGAGUGCCUGGAAUUGGCUCAAGGGCUCACCCAACACAAUGAGGUCAUCGUUUUUCUCUGCACCAGUUUGUGGGGGGAACCAGGGUCAGAGUCUUGACAACCACAGCACCAGGUGCAUGGAGGUGCCAGCUUCCCAGACAGCUCUAUGCAGACUGCAAAGUUGGCCCACUUCUCACUAAGGAAGCCCUGGGAACUAUGAACCUUGCAAUCCCAGCAGCAAUGGGACCACAACUGUGAGCAUUAUCCAGAACUUGAGCCCCUGGCACCAUGCAUGGCUCCUUCUAAAACUGGCUACUGGGCACCAACUGCAUGUGCCGACCUUUGCUUCUGACCCUGGCCACCACAACAGACUCACCGGUAACAGUGAUGCAGGAGUCGAUGGCAGCAUUGUGGCAGGCACAGAUGAUGACCACAAAGUUGGUCUUGGCGAGCUUGCCCUCCACCAGCAGCCUGAACAUCUUGGAGAGGCCUUUGGCCAGGGCAUAGGCACACUCAAUGACAUGCACACUGUCGUUGCAGGAGCUGUGCUGUGGUCACAGGUGCUGCCGUGCUUGGUGUGGGCGAGAAGAGCUGCAGCUACGGCUGCGCCUGCUGGUACUGCUGGAUCUUGGUCAGGUGUGACUCACACCGGGAGCACAGGAAGAUCUGCUCCAGGUCCUCCAUGAGUGGCACCUGGUGGGCAGCUACAGCAC
rnacentral:lncRNA from 1 species